rnacentral:rRNA from 1 species
UGGGGAAUUUUGGACAAUGGGCGAAAGCCUGAUCCAGCAAUGCCGCGUGUGUGAAGAAGACCUUCGGGUUGUAAAGCACUUUUGUCCGGAAAGAAAUCCUUGGCUCUAAUACAGUCGGGGGAUGACGGUACCGGAAGAAUAAGCACCGGCUAACUACGUGCCAGCAGCCGCGGUAAUACGUAGGGUGCAAGCGUUAAUCGGAAUUACUGGGCGUAAAGCGCGCGCAGGCGGUUUGCUAAGACCGAUGUGAAAUCCCCGGGCUCAACCUGGGAACUGCAUUGGUGACUGGCAGGCUAGAGUAUGGCAGAGGGGGGUAGAAUUCCACGUGUAGCAGUGAAAUGCGUAGAGAUGUGGAGGAAUACCGAUGGCGAAGGCAGCCCCCUGGGCCAAAUACUGACGCUCAUGCACGAAAGCGUGGGGAGCAAACAGGAUUAGAUACCCUGGUAGUCCACGCCCUAAACGAUGUCAACUAGUUGUUGGGGACUUCAUUUCCUUAGUAACGUAGCUAACGCGUGAAGUUGACCGCCUGGGGAGUACGGUCGCAAGAUUAAAACUCAAAGGAAUUGACGGGGUCAUAGCUGUUUCC